CGCUGGCGGCGUGCUUAACACAUGCAAUGWGGAGCGACGAACCAGGGCUUGCCCUGGGGCAGAGCCGCGAACGGGUGAGUAACACGUGGGUAACCUACCCCGAUGACCGGGACAACCCGAGGAAACUCGGGCUAAUACCGGAUGUUCUCCUUUCUCGUAAGGGAAAUGAGCAAAGAUAGCUUUUAGCCUUCGCAUCGGGACGGGCCCGCGGCCCAUUAGCUUGUUGGUGGGGUAACGGCCUACCAAGGCGACGAUGGGUAGCUGGUCUGAGAGGACGAUCAGCCACACUGGGACUGAGGCACGGCCCAGACUCCUACGGGAGGCAGCAGUGGGGAAUCUUGCGCAAUGGGCGAAAGCCUGACGCAGCAACGCCGCGUGGGGGAAGAAGGCCUUCGGGUUGUAAACCCCUUUCAGUUGGGACGAAGCUUCGAGGGUUAAUAGCCCUCUGGAGUGACGGUACCUUCAGAAGAAGCCCCGGCUAACUACGUGCCAGCAGCCGCGGUAAUACGUAGGGGGCUAGCGUUGUCCGGAAUCAUUGGGCGUAAAGCGCGUGUAGGCGGUCCGGUAAGUCCGCUGUGAAAGUCGGGGGCUCAACCCUCGGAUGCCGGUGGAUACUGUCGGGCUUGAGUACGGAA
rnacentral:rRNA from 1 species